rnacentral:rRNA from 1 species
UACGAAGGGGGCUAGCGUUGCUCGGAAUCACUGGGCGUAAAGCGCACGUAGGCGGCUUCUUAAGUCAGGGGUGAAAGCCUGGAGCUCAACUCCAGAACUGCCUUUGAUACUGAGGAGCUUGAGUCCGGGAGAGGUGAGUGGAACUGCGAGUGUAGAGGUGAAAUUCGUAGAUAUUCGCAAGAACACCAGUGGCGAAGGCGGCUCACUGGCCCGGUACUGACGCUGAGGUGCGAAAGCGUGGGGAGCAAACAGG